GCGCCCCCAUGCGGGUCCCGGGCUGGGGCGCGCCGGUGGCGGCAGGCGGGAGCCGGGCGGUGGCCGGGCGGUGCUCUCCCGCCGCCUGAGUGGGCGCGGCGCGGGACGGCGCGGGACGGCGGCGCGGGGUGCCGGGAGCCAUGGGCUAUUGCAGCGGCCGGUGCACGCUGGUGGCGGUGUGUGGCGCGCAGCUGGUUUCUGUGCUCGAGAGGCAGAUAUUUGACUUCCUUGGUUAUCAGUGGGCACCCAUCCUGGCAAAUUUUAUACACAUUAUUAUAGUCAUACUUGGCUUAUUUGGAACCAUCCAGUAUAGACCUCGUUACAUAACAGGAUAUGCUGUCUGGCUGGUCCUUUGGAUUACAUGGAACGUGUUUGUUAUCUGCUUCUAUUUGGAGGCUGGGGACCUUUCAAAGGAAACAGAUCUCAUUCUGACCUUUAAUAUCUCAAUGCAUCGCUCUUGGUGGAUGGAGAAUGGGCCAGGCUGCACCGUGACCUCAGUAACCCCAGCACCAGACUGGGCACCAGAGGAUCAUCGAUAUAUCACUGUCUCGGGUUGUCUUCUUGAAUAUCAGUACAUAGAAGUGGCUCACAGUUCUCUUCAGAUCUUCCUUGCACUGAUGGGCUUCAUCUAUGCCUGUUAUGUUGUGAAAUGUAUUACUGAAGAAGAGGACAGCUUUGAUUUCAUAGGUGGAUUUGACUCUUACGGCUAUCAAGGUCCACAGAAGACAUCUCAUUUACAGCUACAGCCCAUGUAUAUCGCUAGCAGCGUGCUCCAUGCUGUACAAGCCAAGAAGCCUAGACAGUCCCUUCAAAACGAAUACGCUUUUUAAACAGAAUGGGACAGAACUGGUGCUCGUGUACCUCCCUGCAACGUGGCCACAGCUGGUGUACUAAAAAGCAGCUUCCUGGUAUUCGGUGUGAGAGAUGUCAGUGCUCAUUUCCAGACCACAGGACAAGAACACAAUAAGAUGGUGGAAAUCAAUUGUCAAGAGAAAAUUCUGCUCUUGGAAGGUGACUGAGGAAGGUCAAAGUAAACAUGAGAACUACUCAACAUGGGCUAGAGGACCUGUCAAAGAAACUGUUUCAGGAUGGCCUCCUGGUUCUUCAAAGAGCAAAAAAUUACCCAGUUUUUGUGCUAAAAAAAAAAAAAAAUAGAAGAGCUGAUCGAACAGUGAGACACCAGAAACCUUCAGUCCCUCUUUCUAAUAGGUACUAAGGAUGAUGCCCCAGACCCCUACCUUGGACCUCCUGCCUCCCAGCACCACAGGGGGAGAGCAAAGGCAUUGGUGCAAUCUUCUGGGUCUUCCCUAUCCUGGCUACCACCAGUGUGGCCCAUCUGGAUUGAGACAUGAACCCAGCCCACUUGGUGCUUUUGGAGCCCCCUCUGCACUCCUGUCCAUGUCGAGUCCCCUUAGUCAACACGACACUAAAAAUACCAGGAUGACCUUGCAACAGAAGUCAAUAGACAGCGCAUUGUUUGCCCUGAAGGCUGUACAGUUCAUACUUGCCUUAACCCAACUGCAUUGCACAGCAAAGAAACUCCGUGCAAGCUUUCUGAAGUAACAUGCUGCUGUUAAUUCUGAACGAUUUCUAAGUCAGUGGUUUUCUUCUGUUUGGUUUUGUUUUGUUUUCAUGUCAGGGAAUAAGGCUCUGUUGCUCCACAGCUCCAGAGCGACCAAGUAGAAAACUGCCAGCUGUCUGAGAAGUGCUUUACUUUUGAGACUCCACAGUGGUCAAGAAAUAAACACUUUAUAAUGGUUAACAGAUAAAAAAAGAAAAAUAAAUAAAUAAAGGAAAUGAGACCUUUUGGAGGCCAGGGUGGGGAAAGGGGUACCAUAAACUAAUAAUUUAACCUACUGGAAAUAAGCAGCAGAAAGAGUGCUUCUUAAUCCCACUGUUUUUAUUUAUCGCACUGUAGGUGCUUUUAUAGCUAUCCCUAAAUGUCUUUUACUAACUACAGAGACAUCUGCAGAUUUAUAUCAACAAAGGCCAACUGAAUAUGUACUAACUACGUUUACUCUUUUGUAUCUAAUUUCAACUGAAAAUUCUCUGUAAGUGAGCUUUUUUUUUUCUAAUUGCACCAUAAGGGAUCCAUAUAUUUUAUUUUAUUUUUUUUUUGUUUCAGUUGGGGAGGGCAGGGAGGGACUAGUUGAGUUGAAGAAAUGUUGGAGACCUUUUUGUGGUAUAUUUGGGGGAUCUGUUGUGUGUUAGAAUGUGUAUUUUAUCUUCCUGUAUUAUUGUGGCUGAAAAAAAUCCUGUGCUGUUACGUAGUUGGCAACAAGAUGCCUUUGGGAAUUUUGCUAGUAGGUCAAUGUGUAUAUGAAAUACUCUGAACUCCUAGGCACAUAUGUUUUGUUCUACAUCUGAUCUGUAUUUUCAAGCACUUAGGUGGCUUUCAUUAGGAAAACCCCAAUAUUUUGCUCAGGCUUUUCAGAAACUUGGAUUGUCAUUGUUUCUUUGGUCAGACCUUGCACAGGCAAACACACGCAGCUGCCACACCUGAGGUGACCACGCACCUUUUGAGGGCAAGAGAGAAGGUCAGCGCUUGGAAAGGCUUGAGAUGCCCUGAGCAACUCCCUUUUCCUUGCUGGUCAAACCCUUGCAUCCACACAGCUCCCAGGAUCCCAAGACCUGUGCGCUCACGCCACUUACCCAUCCCUGUACAAAGCAGCACCCUUUCCUGUGUCUGCAUGGAUGUACAGUGUCACAAGCAGCAACUCUGGACAAUGACAGAGGAACAGGCAUUCACCAUUGAAAACAAGAUAUGGGACAGGUUCAGGAACUAUAUUUACAUUUAUUCGGUGAGAUUUUUAUAUAUAUAUUUGUAAGUGUGUGUGUGUGUGUGUGUAUGUCUAUAUAUAUAAAAUACACGAGAAUAGCUAUGACAGGGGCUGCAUAACCCAGGAAGAUUCUGGUGAAGGGGGCCAAGGGCUCAAGCCCCAGAUCCUGCUAGGGAUUUUCUGUGUGAAUUAGUUAGGCUGGUCCCUAGGUGUGAUCCCUUACAGCAUUCAUUGCUGAUUUGCAUCUCAAAUUUAACUUUUCAGACUUCGGUACCUGAAAAUCUGAGUUCAUUCUGGAUAGAGCUGUUUUUCACACCCUGAAAAAGCGUGCAGCCUCCAAGUGGCAGGCUGAAAUUUCCCAUAACUUGGAAAACUUUCAAAAGUUUUUACUUUUAUGUAGUAUGGAAUAUAGCAGAUGUGUAGUAUUAAACACAGUGUAGAGGUUUAAAUGGAACAAAAAUGUCAUAACAGGGUAUUUUAGCUUUCCCUGCGUGCCAGUUAAUCAAAAUAAUAUUUCUAUAAAAAUCAUUUUUUAAGGUAAAAAGAAACCAGUUUAGGCACCUAAGCAGCAAUCCAAUUUUCAGAAGGUAAUUUUUCAUACCUUUCAGUUAUUUCCCUUGGAACGGCAGGUACCGGUAGUUAGCAAUUUUAGAAUUCAGACAAUUUACUGAAGUGUCUACAUGUAGCUUUCAGGCCUGAUUUUAAUUUAGAAAAUUUUGGCCUUAAUUUCUCUGUGUCUUAGUCUUCCCACCUAUAAAACGGGAAUAAUCUGUGCCUCACAGGCUUAUUGUGAGGUCUGAAUUGUCAAUGUUUGUAAAGUGCUUAGGAAAUAGGAAGCACAUCUAACUAUUAAGGAUUACGAUAUAAAUGCGUAUUCAUGUUACAUAUAGAGUAGAUAUACACACACUAACAUACACACAGUAUACAUAUAUAUACACAUACAUACCUGUAUGAAAUUGAUAUUCAUAACCCUGCUUAAGUUGCAGUUAGAGCACCGCCAUUAAAAAUAAUUAGGACUGUUGACUACUAAACUAAAUGAUUAGUGGACAGAUCUCUUCUGACAGCAGUUUAGAGCACAGUAAUGUGAGAAUAUCUGGAUGACAUUUUUGAUUUGUACAGCUGUAUCCUCCUCAAAAUCCAGUAAAGAAUGUUAUUUUUCUAGGCUGGGCUUUUGUUAGAAACUUAAAUAUUCAGAAGGCAAGAGAUGCAAUCCAAAUGUGUCUUUUUUUUUCUUUUCUUUUGGCAUUUGUUAAUUCUGAAUGUAUUUUUAACAAAAGUGAUUUUUUUGACUUACUAGUGUAAUUUGCAUUUUAAAAAAAAUAAAUGGAAAAAAUAUAGGUUUCCAAGCUA